CAGCUCUCCGAGUGGUAGGGACGAUUAUUGGGCUUAAAGCGUCCGUAGCCGGCUUAGUAAGUCUCCUGUUAAAUUCAGCGACCUAAUCGUUGAGCCGCGGGAGAUACUACUAGGCUAGGAGGCGGAAGAGGCCGACGGUAUUCUCGGGGUAGGGGUGAAAUCCUAUAAUCCCGGGAGGACCACCAGUGGCGAAGGCUGUCGGCUAGAACGCGCUCGACGGUGAGGGACGAAAGCUGGGGGAGCGAACCGGAUUAGAUACCCGAGUAGUCC
rnacentral:rRNA from 1 species